rnacentral:lncRNA from 1 species
AAAAAACAUUGUAAAUGUGUAUAAAUGUUACUUUACUUCUUUCAUGUCAAUUGUUUAAAAUUGUAAUGCUUAUAGUGCUUACAAACACGUACAAAUAAUGAAAUAUACACAUUUGUUAAUAAUAUGUACACUAUUUUACAGUCAUAUUUUCUUCCUUAUAGUUGUUGUUAUUGCCAGCAGCAUACCACCCUGCCUCCCACUGCUGGCUUGCUUCUGAAGCUAAGCAGGGUUGGUCCUGGUUGCAGCAUACCACCCUGCCUCCCCCUCCCUGGCCCUCACUACACCCCUCCUUUGUCAAUCCUAUCCACCAUCCUUCCUCCUAUCACCCGUCCAGUCUUACCUAUCACCCCUCCUGUCUCUCGUCUCACCCCCGUCUCUCCUCUCACCCCCCCGUGUCUCUCCUCCACCCCCCCUUCUUCUCUCACUUCACCCCCCCUGUCUCUCUUCUCACCCCUCCUGUCUCUCCUCUCACCCCCCCUGUCUUCUCUCCUCCCUCAUUCCUCUUCUCCCCCGUCCGUCUCUCACUUACCUCCGGUCUUCCUACUACCCUCCUGCUCUUCCUAUCACCCCUUCUGUCUCUCCUACCACCCCCCGUCUCUCUUCUCACACCCUCCUGUCUCCUCCUAUCACCCUCUGCUCCCUAUCACCCCCCAUGUCUCUCCUCUCACCCUCUCCUCACCCUGUCUCUCUUCUCACCCUCUCUCUCCUCACCCCCCUGCUCUCCUCUCACCCCUUCUGGUCUCCUCCUACCCCCCCUCUCUCUCACCCCUCCUGGCUCUCCUAUCACCCCUCUUGUCCUUACUCUCUCACCCCUCUGUCUCUCCAUCACCCCUCCUCUCUCCCUAUCACCCCUUCUGUCUCUCCUACCACCCCUCCUGUCCCCGUCCUCACCCCGUCUGUCUCUCCUAUCACCCCUCCUGUCCCAUAUAUCACCCCCCUUCUCCUCCUCACCCCCCCCUGUCUCUCCUCUCCACCCCCGUCUCUCGCUCCCACUGUGUCUCUCCCUCACCUCUCCGUCUCUCCUCUCACCCCUCUGCUACUCUCACCCUGCUGUCUCAUCAUCACCUCUCCUGUUCUCUCCCUCACCCUCCUGUCACCUCCUGCUCUCCCAUCACCCUCUGUCCCCGUAUCUCGCCAUCAUCUCCUGCCUCCCAUCACCCCUCCUGUCCCCACAUCCUGUCUCUCCCAUCACCCCCCUCCGUCCCCCAUCCUUCUCUCCUAUCACCUCUCCUGUCUCUUCCCAUCACCCUCCUGUCCCGUCUCAGUCUCCUGUCACCUCCCUGUCUCUUUUAUAACCCUCCUGUCCCCCAUCCCGUCUCUCCUAUCACCUCUCCUGUCUCUCCCAUUACCCCUCCUGUCCCCCAUCCCGUCUCUCCUAUCACCUCUCCGUCUCUCCCAACACCCCUCCUGUCCCUCAUCCUGUCUCUCCUGUCACCUCUCCCGUCCUUGCCAUUGGUAGGACCUUCCUGAAACACUGACACAAUACUUAGCUUAAACCUGUUCUGCCCAGUCUCAUGUCUUUAAAGAUUAGUGUUCCAUGUGGUGUAAAAAGAUGACAAGAUAAUGACAGAGUAAUUCUAGCUUAAUAACAAACAGACAUGCUACAUUCUGGUUCUUCCACAACUGGUUUCCUGCUUGUGGAGGGCACGGUUGCACAAACCUUUUUCUCUAACUCUAAGUCACACGUUUCAUGAGAAAUGUUUUUCUGCAGUGAGAGUAUGCAAGCAAGUCAAGUCCUUGGAUGCAUGUCAACAAUGCAUAAAUGCGCCCUGGUACAAGCAACAACACUAAUUCAAAACAAAGUAAUCAGCAAACGAUAUUAAAUAAAUUUCCUGCAAUGAAUGUCUAUAUUUUUGUGACGAGUCAAG